rnacentral:lncRNA from 1 species
CCUGAGAUCCUGUAAGACUGGAAAUUUGAUCAAAGGUACAUGUCUAUUGCCCGGACUGGGGUGAGAUGUGAAGGUGCAUAUAUAUCACAGCAAAGCAGAUGACUGAUAUCAGGGGAUUGCACACAACAGAAAAAAAGCUUUUCCUUAUAUCAUGCACACAUACAGAUUCUUCCUAGCCUUAACAGUGCACCUCUAUCAGUUGAUAGAGGUAUGUCCUGAGCCACAGGUGGAACAGAAGACUUGUAAGGCCACACAGAUGACCUGAGGCCUAGAACUUGACCCGGGGCAAUCUGAGACUAUGUGUCUGUUACCUUAUGGCACUAAGGAAAGAACAUGCUGUUCCUUCUGUUGUGCAUUGCAGAACGCCAUGUAAGUGGGAGGUGAUUGCUAUAAGAUAAACCAAGCAACCUGCUGAUACAAAGAACAGUUAGUGCAACUCCUGUGCCUCGGAAUCUCUCAACCACUCUACGGUUAUUCACUUGUAAACCAUCUAUAAGCACAGACUCCUCAAACAGAAACAGACUGUAAAUCCCUGAGGCAUGUUGCUUGUAAGUGGUAUUGUUACUGGGCUGUGGACUGACAGUGGAUCAUCACC